rnacentral:tRNA from 1 species
GCGAUCGUUGUCUAGUCUGGUUAGGACGGAAGCUUCCCAAGCUUUCAAGCCGGGUUCAAAUCCCGGCGGUCGCACCA